GCGGGGCGGGGUGGCGCAUGCCUGUAGUCCCAGCUACUCGGGAGGCUGAGGUUGGGAGGAUUGCUUGAGCCCAGGAGUUCUGGGCUGUAGUGCGCUAUGCCGAUAGGGUGUCCACACUAAGUUCAGCAUCAAUAUGGUGACCUCCCGGGAGCCGGGGACCACCAGGUUGCCUAAGGAGGGGUGAACCGGCCCAGGUCUGAAAUGGAAGCAGGUCAAAACUCCCGUGCUGAUCAGUAGUGGGAUUGCGCCUGUGAAUAGCCACUGCACUCCAGCCUGGGCAACAUAGCGAGUCCUGUCUCU
rnacentral:SRP_RNA from 1 species